UCCAAAACAUUCCAUUAUUCAUUCCAAGAAACAAUUUGCUUAAUCAAUGAAUCCUCUCAAUAUGUAUUUAUGAAAAUCAUCAGCAUCAGUAGGUGUUUCCUGGGGAGAAAAGAUGGAGGGAUAGAUGUCCAUGACUAACUUUUUGCUAUCUUCUGGGUCAAGGGUCACUCUGAUGACAAUGUGCCAGACUGGGUUGCUGACUCUUCCUAUUCACUCUCUAGUCUCCUCUGCCUUACAAAUCUCUGCAGGCAGCUCAGCCAACAAUCAUGUGUUAUCCCAUACAAUUAAAAUCUGGUUGCAAUUCAGGAAGCAUUUUGGUUUUCAAAGGCCCUCUGCUAUGGCACCUAUUAUGUCUAACCACCUGUUUACACCAGCUAUCAUAGACAUGGCCUUUUGUACAUGGCAUGGGAACAGAAUAAAGUUUAUAUUAGAUCUUUAUGUUAGAACUCUCUCUCGCUUUCUUUCUCUCUCACUCUCUCUCUCGUUGACUGCCCCCUCACUCCCCUGUCAUCUUCCUUCUGAAUCAUGGUUGGAACAAUUCUAUUUACAUUCACAAAAAGCUAGCAAGAUGCCAAUCUUUUCAAUCUCUUUACUUUUAUACUUCUUGCAUAGUCUGUAGGGGUGCUGUGUGCAAGUUAAUGUAUCAACCUACAAUAUGAAAGUGCUUAACCCUUAUAAGAGCCACUGAAUCUUAGUAAUAUUGUGUUUUUCCUCUUCACCCAGGUCAGUGACAGACCCCAGAGAUGGAAAGCGAGUUGCCCUAAAAAAAAUGCCCAAUGUCUUCCAAAACCUUGUUUCUUGCAAGAGGGUAUUUCGGGAGCUCAAGAUGCUAUGCUUCUUCAAACAUGAAAACGUGCUCUCUGCUCUGGAUAUACUACAACCUCCACACAUCGACUUCUUUGAAGAAAUCUAUGUCGUGACUGAACUGAUGCAGAGUGACCUCCAUAAGAUCAUCGUAUCACCACAGCCUCUGAGCUCAGACCACGCCAAAGUUUUUCUUUAUCAGAUUCUACGAGGACUUAAAUACCUUCAUUCUGCUGGCAUUCUGCACCGAGACAUCAAGCCUGGCAACCUCCUGGUCAACAGCAACUGUGUGCUCAAGAUCUGUGAUUUUGGCCUGGCCCGAGUGGAGGAGUUAGACGAGUCACGACACAUGACUCAGGAAGUGGUAACACAGUAUUACCGAGCUCCUGAGAUCCUCAUGGGGAGCCGCCAUUACUCCAACUCCAUCGAUAUCUGGUCUGUGGGCUGCAUCUUUGCUGAACUGCUGGGGCGGCGCAUCCUGUUCCAAGCCCAAAGUCCCAUUCAGCAGCUGGAUUUAAUCACUGACCUGUUGGGGAUUCCCUCUAUGGAAGCGAUGAGGACGGCGUGUGAAGGCGCUCGUGCACACAUUCUCAGAGGACCUCAAAAGCAACCAUCCCUUCCUGUUCUGUACACACUGUCUAGCCAAGCAACCCAUGAAGCUGUCCACCUCCUCUGUAGGAUGCUGGUAUUUGAUCCGGCCGACUCUUCACCUCUUGAGAUGAGACUUACCACAGUGGUGUCAUCUGCGAAUUUGAUGAUGGUGUUGGCCUUGUGGAGAGACGAUGCUGAGCGUGAGGGUGGAGGAGAGCUGGAGUCAAAGAGGAUUUCAGCAAAGGAUGCCCUGGCUCACCCUUACCUGGACGAGGGUCGACUGCGCUACCAUACAUGCAUGUGCAAAUGCUGCUACACCACAUCCUCUGGCCGUGUUUACACCAGUGACUUUGAGCCUGUCACUAAUCCCAAGUUUGAUGAUGGCUUUGAGAAGAAUCUGAGCUCUGUGAGACAGGUCAAAGAGAUCAUCCAUCGGUUCAUUUUGGAACAGCAAAAGGGGAGUCGAGUGCCACUCUGCAUUAACCCUCAAUCAGCUGCUUUUAAAAGCUUUAUCAGUUCCACAGUGGCUCAACCCUCUGAAAUGCCUCCGUCUCCACUGGUGUGGGAAUAGCUGCUGCUGUGUCAUCAUUUUUCCCAACUGACAAGCUGCUAAACUGGGAACAAGAAUGUGUCUCAACGUCUUCUAUCAUCUGCGUAGCAUUUCACUGGAGAGCAGGACACACAGGGUUAGUGUUAAAGCUACAGGUGUUGGGAGAUCCAGAUGUUCUCCUAAGUGAUGGGGGAUGAUGGCCAACACUAUGAGAAUCAGACCCAGAUUGUAAAGAAAUCCUUAAAAGUGCUAUAGAAGGCUAUGGUAGCUUACUAAAGUCAAGAUCCAGUCUUCCUUUGGAGCGAGCUUGUUCUUCUUUUGACUAUAAGGACAAAUGGGGAGCUGUCAUUGUGUUAUGAACAAAAUAUGAAAAUGAGAAGAAAACAUACUAAGGUAAAGAAGCAGUUUAACAAGCAAUAUCAUUAUUUAAGGUUGUUAAUUCUUUAUGUCUACUUGAAUAUAACCACAUACUAUGUCAUCUUGGAUUGCAUUAGACAAGCUCACCAUACGGAAACGGUAGCAUAUGAAUGAUGUAUAAAUGAUGGCAUGGUCUCAUCCAUAUGGGUUUUUCUAAAUUGUAAUCCAGUUUUAAGAGUGCACCCGCUUCACCUCAUACAUGUACAAUGUCUCCAGAAAAAAAAAACUUUGAAGUAAAUGAUUUAAUAUAUUUUUAGAGUUGUUUUCUAUUCUUGUUCUUGUACUCUAUGGCAUGCAUUCUUCUCACACCUCAAAGUACGAUUAUGUAUAUAAAUAGAGAAGCAAAUCUAUACAUCAACCUAAAGAACAAUACCACUGUAUAUAACUUGUAUUAGCCUGCACAUUUCUAAGGCUGUGAAGUUAAUUUUAUUUUUAAACUUGCAUACAAAUGUAUAUGUUGUCUUUAUUUUAAGCCUGCAACUGGGAUCUGUAAAGGACAGAAAAUCCUGUAAUGAUUCACAGAAUUGUCUUGUUAACUGUAUGUUGUGUGUACAGCAGAUUUGUAGAUACAACUAGGGAGAAGCCUUUUUUGUUAAUGUUAAUUACCACAGCGGCACUGUGUGAAUAUGUAUAUUAAUGAUUCACCAUGUUGGUCUCUACCUCUUGGGCUCAGUAACUUUGCUUUGUUUACCUCCACACCUUUCUGAUUUCAUGUGGGGAUGAAUUAAAAAACGCUUGAAUGUCUAUUCAAGCUUUUAUACUGAAAUAACAUGUACUGCCCCUGCAAACCUCUACUGCAUCAAAGUGCAAAGCAUUCACCUGAAAUUUUUAAUUUAUUUUUAAUCAUCAGAUGUUUGUAUUACAAAGUACUACCAAUAGCCAAGGGUUCACUGACUGUUAGUACAUUUUUACGCUUUGAUAGGAUAGGACCUUAUGGGCAGGGAGAGUGACUACUUACUAUGGGUAAAACGGUACACAAAAGUCAAGUUUUUUUUUUCAUACACUGGUUUAAGUGUCAUGGUUUGGUGCGAGUUCAGUACGGGAAAAAACCCAAAUACAUAAGGAUACGUUUAUUUUCAUUUAAUAGAGUUGUGCAAGUGUUCGAGACAGACAAAAUCCUCUUGCUGGGGACUGAGCUAACAUUUUGCCCACUGGCAUAUUUGAAAUGUUGCUUAUUUGAUAAUGAAAAUAGUAUACCAAAUGUCUGUGUUACACUGUACGAACACUACACACUUUCCCAAAAGGCAACAGGUCACAAUAGGCUAUUAAACUGAAAAACAUCUCGUAUGCUAUAUUUAAACAUUCAAAGCACCCAAUAAUUUAUCGUCCCAGUGAUCGCACAUCUGGGUGAUGCCAUUUAAUGUGCAUUAGCAUGUUGGAUGUGUUUUCAUUCACAUACACUACAGUGGUGGAGCAACGUGGACACAUCUCUCUCCGCUGCUGUUGUAGCUGACCGGGAACCUGCAGGCGGGUCUUCCAGCUCUGGAGUCCCAUUUGCACUCCCCAUAAUGUGACUGAAUCAUGACCCCCAUACCGUGACUGUUCGGUACGGCCCAACUACUUACACCACAGUGGCUGUGUUAAAUGUCUAGGAAUUUGAUUCAAAGGUGAUUAUCAAAUUUCACAUAAUUAACUUACGUUUUGUUUUGGAUUGUUUUCAGGCUAUUAAGAAUUUGAAUAGUUAUUUUUGCAUCCCUUGUUGAAUAGACUUUAGAUUUGGCUAUCACUUUUUUGCUUCAAAUAUUGAUAUGUGAAAUGGUUUGCUAAUAAAAAAAGAGCAGGGUUCAAUUAAAAAGUUUAAACAAUUUAAAAAUCAAUAGGAUUAGGUAAUUCCUGAUGUUUUCUAACCGAGAACCGGAUCCAACAUGGAACCAGCUUGUAGAGCCCGGUCCUGGUACCCUAUAUAGUACCAGGACAUUUCUUUCCAUUUGUUUAUAGAGUUGUGAUUGGCUGCAUAGUGUUUUUUUCCAAUAACUGCGCAUAGGGAGCAAUGUUUGUCCCUAGGUUUACAAAGACAAUGCCCACACAAAGUUUCUAUUUAAAGAUCAUAUUGUUUGGGGGUUCAAAGACCUCAAUGCACUGCAACUUUAGAAAACCAAACACAAAAUCGACAAUGUGAAACCUCAUCUGCAGCACAGAGAAACACUGCAAAUCUAACACAACAGAAAUUUUCAGGUGAGAUUAAAAACCAUUCAAUGAUGUCCAAAAUUGAUGAUUAAAGAUUGAAAAAUAUGUUAAUAGGAGUGUUUCUUAAUUUAACUACUAUACAAUAACAAAACAUGAUCACAUUGAGAUCAAAUGUUUGCUGCGUGAAAUAUAAGGCUUUAUAUUCAACCACCGGGACUUCAGAACAGAUAAUGAUGGUUUCUAACUUAUCGCUUUUUAUUGAUUGAGUCCUUUUUUUUUUUUUAUUGCACAUCCUAGAGUUCUGCACAGAGCAAAGCAGAACAUUCAAUGCAAGAGCCUUGUUUUUCUGCUAGAAUUUCAGGACAGCGGAAGCCUUUUAUAGUUUUUAGCGUCACCUGGAAAUGUCUAUCAUGUUAUAACUUAUUUAUAUUAUGUGUGAUUUUUAUUUCUCUAUUUGCUUGUAUUUUCUGUACUUGCAGUGUUAACGUGUUUCUAUAUUGUGUUCAAUUUCCCUUAGUUUCAUUUUAUUUUAGGUCUUUUCCUACAUACUUAUAUUUUCUUAAGUGUCAGUUCAGUGCAUUAAACUCUCUUGGCCACUAUAUUAUUGCCCAAAAGUAUUAAAUUACCUGGAUGUAACUCUAGUUCUAUGAGUACAUGGGUAGCACUCCAACAUAUUUUGAUGUUGAUUCACCCUGAUGAUUCUCAUUAUUUGAUUUCUGUUGCGUGGCCAUAGUUUAACAUAACAUAGAUCACUCCAACCCAUUGUGAAAAAACACAUUCAACGCAGACAACUCUGACACAAAGGAGACAAUAAAAAAGAGGCAUGCUGUGGGUGUCUAUUGGAAACUGAACAGGAAUUUUCUCAGGAAUGAACACAGUUCGUGGUGCAAGUCACUCUCCCUCCCUAGGCCUCUAUACUCUUUGUGUAGAUAUAGUAGUUUCCUAUGUUUUAUUUUGUGUUGGAAAUAAGUACUUGAAUCAAAUGAUGCUCAUUUAGAAAAAUUGUAGAGUAAUAACUGAAACUUGUGUAAGAAACUAACCACAACUUUGUAACUACUGGUAUAUUUGGAUUCAUAUAAUUUGCCAUUUUUACUAUGUUUGUAUACUUGAUGUUUUAAUCAGAUGCAUUGUAAUUUGAAUAAAACUUGCAGUAUAUACAGUACAUAAUGUAUCUAUUAAACUCUGCGUUUAAGCACUGUAAAUCAAAGUUAUUGGACUAGAAUCAGUUGUCAUUUUGGAAAGUGUUAUAUCUACCCAAAAGGUUCCAUCUGAAAAAUAAUGGUGAAAACAUUAAAUGUGAAAAAAUCUGUCGUUGUCCAUACUUCUCUCAUAAUGUGAAAAUUGAAGAUAACCUGAAAGAUAA